CCAGUUCUUUCAGGUUGCCAUGGGUCCUUCACUUGUUUUAGUCCAUUCUUUUCGAACUCAUGCCAUUGAACCUUAUGAGAUACUUGAAAGGGUUGGACCAGUUGCAUAUAAAUUGGCUUUGCCACCUGAGUUAGACAAGAUCCACAAUGUCUUCCAUGUUUCUAUGCUUAGAAGAUAUCGUUCUGAUCCAUCUCAUGUUCUUCCAGUCGAAUCUAUUGAGGUUAAUCUUGACUUGACAUUUAAUGAAGAACCUAUUUUAAUUCAAGCUCGAGAAGUAAAGCAACUUAGAAACAAGAGAAUUCCCUUAGUAAAGGUACUUUGGAGGAACCAUUCUGGAAAAUAAGCUACGUGGGAAAGAGAAGAAGACAUGAGAACCCAGUAUCCGCACUUGUUUCGGACUAGUGUAAGGUAAAUUUUGAGACGAAAUUUCUUUAAGGGGGAGAGAGUUGUAACACCCCAAAAAUGCUAACAAGAGUAGCAUGUCGAUAAACCACUGCUUAAUUAUUACAAUAUGUUUAAUUCUCAUUUUGGGAACUUGAAAUAAUGUUAUAUUUGCAAUCUUGCUUAAAAUAAAUGUCAUCGUAAUUUAAUGUAUUGUAUGGGGGUAUUUGCAUAAUGUUUAAAUUAGAAAUAUGUAUAGCUUGAAAAGGAGGUGAAGGAUAUAUAUAUAGGUGUAUAUGUAUGCAUUUGGGCCGCACACAAGUAUUUGGGCAGCCAACUUUUAUGGACAGCUGUGUAUAUGAUAAGCACCUCUUGUGUUACUAUAUUUUGACACCUCCUCUUAAGAAAAUUGUCUCACCUGAAGUAUAAGUCCCUUAGAACAUUAUCUAACCUGUUGUUCUUCAAGAUCACAAGAGAAAAUCUUGGACCUUUUAGCUGGAAAUUGAGUUACACUCUUCUUUUCUGUAAGUGGUAAAUCCUAUUUUUGAGUUGGGUAGCGUUUAGUAGAUUAAGCAUAUCUCGUUCUAUAGAACUUUGUUUACUGUGAAUAAAUAUGAUUUGGGAAGAUAAUUCUAUAUUUACAAUCUUAUGUUUAUGUUAAACUCUAAUUUAGUUGUUAUGGAUUCGAAAUAUGGGACGCAUCAUAGGACAAGUUCUGUCCAGAUUCUGAAGUUUGAAAUCCUGUAUGGACAACUGUUAGUGUUUUGAAUAUCUCUUUUUAUCCAAAAUACAUUUUUUGGUGAUUCUUAGUUGUUUGCAACCUUAAGAAAGGUACCCACAUCUUUCAUGAAGAGUAUACAGUCCAGUUUUGCCGUUUACCAUUUCAAAACUUAUUUGCGACAGGAUGCACUAGGAUGGCCAGAAUUUACUGUUUGGGAGCAUAGUCGUAUUUGUACAAGCUAGACUUACUUGUGAUGAUAACCCUAUGUUACGUCAUCAUUAUUGAGCUGCUAGACAGUAAAUAAGUUAUUAAAUUCAUUUUUUAAAGGUUGUAUAUCCUCGUGUACAAGUUGAAGACUUUGAUACGCUGGUAGGUCUACGGUUUGACUCGUGGAGUUUUGUUGGACUUUUUUGUGCUAAAGAACUUAGGUUUUUGUAUAAACUUAUACUUUUUACCCUUUUUUACCUGCUGGUAUAAAUGAAAGUUAUCUUGGUACCUUGGUUACCUCUUGUCACUUUGCAUUGUUGUAUUGGUAUUCUUUAAUACAUUAAAGACGCUUAUGUAACUCCCCCACUUGUACGGAUUGUUUGAUCACUUAGCACUCUUGUUGGGACCUCAUUUUUCUUGUGGCUGUUACUUUGUCACUCUUGGCAUGCCUCUUGGUUCGGAUCAUUUGUCAUCUUGACUCUGGAUUUUCAGUUCGUCUUAAGAAUGGAAGUUGUCCAUUUUAAGUACGAAGUAGGAAGCUAUUUUUUAAUAUGGUUCUUGGUUCUCUUGAUUAUUGGGUUUUGACCCUUCUUGAUACCUUCUCGUGCUUGGUGUGACGACAUGAUGUAUAUAUUGGGUGAGCCUUGUUAUUAAAUCUCUUGAAAAGUUGUGCUAUGAGCAGUCUUAACAUUUAGACCUUUAUAUAUUGAGCUUGAUACUCCUUGAAUAUUGUUUAAUUGAUUUACUGAUUUUGUUUCGAUCGUGCUGCCCUUGACUUGAGAAUGUUAACUUGCUGAAUUUAAGUGCUCCAAACCUAUAGUUUGUACACCACUAAGUUCUAUGCUUUGCGAUAGUUGUUUCUAUCGUAGGGGAUGUUCGCGAAGAUUCUUGAAGCUGGCCAUUGAUGAUGGAGAUUUUGAACUCCUUAAGGAAGAUCACAUUUGCAUAUAGGCAUAUAUAUUUUGUAUAACCUUGGAAAUUUUACAUGAUCUUUGUGUUGUAUAUAUUUACAGGAGAUUUUGAGGGCUGAUUUGGUCAUUUCACCAUGGAUUGUAAUAUUAGUAUGGUUAUACGUUUUUAUCUUUUUGGGGUGUGUAAACCCAAGUCUUGUAAUAUACUAAUUUUCUAUAUUUCUUGAAAGUUGUGUGAAGCAUGAGCCGACUGGUUUUGGUAAUCGGAAGCUUGUAAUAUUCUUGUUAUUUCACCCUCGAGUGUGAGGUUAACAUAUGCAUGAAGAUCUGGUCGGUUAAUUGCUUAAAUGUUAUUUUAUUUUUUUGGAGUUCGUUAUGAAUCUAAUCCCUGUACUAGAUUAAAAUCAGUAUGCCCUCAUUAAUUUUUUAAAUAUCACAAGUAUUUAAUUAGAUUUCUUGUUUAAGUAGUGGUAUCGUUUUGAAAGGAUCGCUACAAUAGUGAUCAUUUGAGGAUUGUAUUGCAAAUUCUCAAGGACCAACAACUCUAUGCAAAUUUUAGUAACUGUAGGUUUUCGUUAAGGUCUGUAGCUUUCCUUGGCCAUAUAGUUUUAAGAAAGGACAUUGAGGUAGAUCCAAAGAUGAAGGAUGCGGUGAAGAGUUAGCCUAGACCUCUAUCACCGACAGAUAUUAGAUGCUUCUUGGGUUUGGCCGGUUAUUGUAGAAGGUUUGUUGAGAGGUUUUCCUCCAUUGUUUAUCCUUUGACGGCUUUGACUCAAAAAAAGGCCAAGUUCCUAUGGUCGGAAACUUAUGAGAGAAAUUUCCAAGAGUUGGAAGAUAGACUUACUUCCGCUAUGGUAUUGACUUUACCGGAAUGUAUGGAUGGCUUCAUGGUAUAUUGUGACACCUCUAGAGUUGUAUUGGGAUGUGUGCUUAUGCCAAAUGGUAAGGUGAUUUACUAUGCUUCAAGGCAACUAAAGGUUCAUGAGAAGAAUUAUCCUACCCAAAAUCUUCAAUUAGCGGCGGUGGUAUGUGCCUUAAAGAUUUUGAGGUAUUGUUUGUAUGGGUUCAUGUUGAUGUGCUCACCGAUCACAAAAGUUUGCAAUAUGUGUUUACACAAAAAGAGCUAAAUCUUCGCCAACGAAGGUGGCUAGAGUUAUUGAAUGAUUAUGGUGUGAGUGUUCUGUAUCACCCCGGUAAAGAAAAUGUGGUGGUUGAUGCCCUUAGUCGAGUAUCCAUGGGUAGUGUUUUCCAUGUUGAGGAUGAGAAAAAAUAGUUGGUUCAAGAUGUUCAUAGGUUUGCCCGAUUGAGAGUUCAACUUGUGGAUUCCACCAAGGUGGUAUUAUGCUCCAUAAUGGUUCCGAAUCAUCUUUCUUGGCCGAUUUUAAAGCAAAACAAUGUCUUGACCUGACCUUAGUUGAAUUGAAAGAGGCAGUACUAAAGAAGUUCGUAGAUGCUCUCUCCCAAGAGGGAGAUGGUGUCCUAAGGUACCAAGGUCAUUUGUGUGUUCGGAAUUUUGAUUACUUGAGGGAAUAGAUUCUAUCAGAAGCCCAUAGUUUUCGAUAUUCUAUUCACCCGGGAGCCACCAAGAUAUACCGUGAUUUGCGGAAGAUCUAUUGGUGGAAUGGGAUGAAGAAGGAUAUUGCGGGAUUUGUGGCUAAGUGUCCUAAUUGCCAACAAGUAAAGGUUCAGCAUCAUAAAUCGGGAGGUUUAUCCCAAGAUAUUAGCAUUCCUACUUGGAAGUGGGAAGAUUUGAAUAUCGACUGUAUAGUGGGAUUGCCCCGAACUCGGCACCAAUAUGAUUCGAUUUGGGUUAUAGUUGACCGAAUGUCAAAGUCGGCCCAUUUGAUUCCCGUCAAGGUUUCCUAUACAGUGGAAUAUUAUGCUAAGUUGUACUUGAGAGAGAUGGUAAGGUUGCAUGGAGUGACCAUGUCCAUUAUCUCUGAUAGAGGUACUCAAUUUACUUCUCAGUUUUAGAAGUCCUUCCAAAAGGGUUUGGGCACUAAAGUUAACCUUAGCACAACUUUUUACCCCCAAACCGAUGGGAAAUAGGUAAGAACAAUCAAAACAUUGGAAGACAUGUUGAGGGCUUGCGUGAUUGAUUUCAAGGGAAAUUGGGAUGACCAUUUGCCUUUGAUAGAAUUUGCCUAUAAUAAUAGCUACCAUUCCAGUAUUUGUAUGUCUCCGUUUGAGGCUCUUUACGGUAGGAGGUGUAUAUAUCCUCUAGGAUGGUUUGAGGUUGGUGAGGUUUCUUUGAUAGGACCCGAGUUAGUUAAUGAGGCUAUAGAGAAGAUUCGACUCAUUAGAGAGAGGUUGAGAAUGGCACAAAGUCGACAAAACUCUUAUGCCGAUGUUAGAAGGAGAGACCUUGAAUUUGGUGUGCAUGAUUGGGUUUACUUGAAAAUCUCACCCAUGAAGGGUGUAAUGAGGUUUGGUAAGAAAGGGAAACUUAAUCCCCAUUUUGUAGGCCCAUAUCAAAUUUUGAGACAUUUUGGUAAGGUUGCAUAUGAGCUUGAUUUGCCAAAUGAGUUGGCAUCAGUGCAUCCGAUUUUUCAUAUCUCUAUGUUGAAAGAGUGUGUUGGAGAUCCGACAUCAAUAAUUAACCUAGAAUGGUUUGAAGUGUUAGAGAACCUUUCUUAUGAAGAAGUUCCGGUUGAGAUCUUAGUGAUGUCAUUUGGGUUGAGCAAUGCCCCUGCACCCUUAAUGUAUUUGAUGAAGGUGUGUUCAAACCGUUCCCGGAUUCUUUUGUUAUCAUCUUUAUUGAUGACAUCUUGGUUUAAUCGAAGAUUAAGGAAGAGCAUGCCAACCAUCUUCGUAUUGUUUUGGCUGUCCUUGGAAAACAAAUGUUGUAAGCAAAAUUUACCAAGUGUGAGUUUUGGUUGACUUCAGUUGCCUUUUUAGGGAUGUGGUUUCUAAUGAAGGGUUAAUGAUAGAUCCCCGAAAGAUUGAAGCAGUCAAAAACUAGGUUCGGCCUAGCUCUGUGAUAGAAGUUAGGAGUUUUGUGGGGCUCGCUAUUUACUAUCAUCGGUUUGUGAAAAAAUUUGUUUUUGUCACCACACAUUUGAAAAGGCUGACUAAAAAAGAGGUGCCUUUCGAAUGUACUGACAAAUGUGAAGAGAGCUUCCAGAAACUCAAGACUCUUUUGACCACAACACCUAUUUUUACACUACCGGUGAAAGGUAAUGAUUUCAUUAUUUAUUGUGAUGCUUCACAUUCGGGCUUCAGUGUUGUGUUGAUGCAGGAAAGAAAUGUCAUAUCUUAUGCAUCGUGACAGUUGAAGGUGCAUAAGAGAAACUACCCGACACAUGACUUGGAGUUGGUAGCGGUAGUAUUUGCUCUCAAGAUCUAGUGGCAUUAACUUUAUGGUGUCAAGUAUGAGGUGCUUACUGAUCAUCAUAGUCUACAACAUGUAUUCACUCUAACAGACCUAAAUUUGAGAGAGCGAACGUGAAUGGAGUUACUCAAGGAUUAUGAUGUUAACAUCCAAUAUCAUUCAGGUAAGGCUAAUGUGGUGCCAGAUGCAUUAAGUCGGAAGACGGUGAGUAUGGGUAGUCUAUCUUUCUUAGGUGUGUCCAAACGACCUUUGGCCAAUGAGAUUCAGACCUUGGAGUCUAAGUUCAUGCAGUUGGGUAUCUGAGAGAAAGGUGGGGUGUUAUCCAGCAUUAAGGUUAGGUCCACAUUCCUUGAGGAUAUCUAGGCCAAGAAGUUUGAGGGUGAGAGUUUGAAUGAGCUCAGAAAGAAGACACAAUCUAGUAAGGCAGAAGAUGUGGCUCUUGACGCGGGUGGUGUAAUCAAAUUUAAGGGAAGAAUUUUGGUCCCCGAGGGGAUGACUGGAUUUAGAAGAUGUUGAAAGAGUCUCAUGGUUCGCAGUAUUCCAUUCACCCGGGUGUGACCAAGAUGUACCGAGAUUUAGAACGACUUUAUUGGUGGCCUGGCAUAAAGUAUGAGCACCAAUGGACUGCUGGUUUGCUUCAGUGAAUGCCAAUUCCUUAAUGGAAGUGGGAAAGGAUAGCCAUGGAUUUCGUAGUUGGUCUCCCCAAAACCUUGGGGAAGUUUGACUCAAUUUGGGUAAUGGUUGACAGACUCACUAAGUCAGCCCACUUCAUUCCGAUUAGAUGAAACUAUAAUGCUCGGCAAUUGGCUAAGGUUUAUGUGAAAGAGAAAGUCAGGCUGCAUGGGGUACCUCUUUCUAUCAUCUCAGACCAUGGUAUGUAGUUCACAUCCAAGUUUUGAGGAAAAUUUCAUGAGGAGUUGGGUACUCAACUCACUUUUAGCACAACUUUCCAUCCACAGAAGGAUGGGCAGUCAGAGAGAACUACUCAAGUUUUAGAGGACAUGUUGAGGGCAUGUUUGAUUGACUUUGGAGGGCAUUGAGAUAAGUUCCUACCUAUGUGUGAGUUCUCUUAUAAUAACAGUUACCACUCCAGCAUCGAGAUGGCACCGUUCGAGGCACAUUAUGGAAGGGGAUGUAGAUCACCCAUAGGGUCGUUUGAGGCUGGAGAUGUGAAACCUUUGGGGUUGAUUUGGUGAAAGAUGCUCAGGAUAAGGUGAGAAGUAUCCAAUCUAAGCUUCUAGUGGCCCAGAGUUGACAGAAAAAGUAUGCGUACCGUAAGGUAAGGGACAUGACAUUUCAGGCUAGUGAGCAAGUUCUUCUAAAAGUGUCACCCAUAAAGGGGUGAUGAGAUUCUGCAAGAAGGGCAAGCUUAGUCCUUGAUACAUCUAGGCAUUUGAGAUUCUUUAUUGUGUAGGGCCUAUGGCUUAUAAGUUGGCUUUAUCUCGUAGCCUCUAUGAAGUCCAUCCAGUGUUCUAUGUGCGAAUGUUGAAGACGUAUCAUGGGGACGAAGAUUACAUCAUAAAGUGGGACUAAGUUUUGUUAGACAAAGACCUUCAGUAUAGGGAGGAACCGGUUGCAAUUCUUGAUCGCGAAGUCCGAAAUCUGAGGACCAAGGAGAUAAAGUCUGUGAAAGUUCAAUGGAAACAUCAUCCGAUUGAGGAAGCUACUUGGUAAACCGAGAAGGACAUGCAAGAUAAGUAUCCCCAGUUAAUUGACGAUUCAAGUACUAGUCUACUCCUACCUUAGCCCAUUUCUCCUAGUUUGAUACUAGGGGACGAGUGAUACAUAAAUUGGUAUCUCUUGUAACAAUCUGUUCCCUUCGUUAUGGGAAAGCCAAUGGAGAAAGAAUUUGGGCCAGGAAACCUAUAAGUAGUAACUUGGAAAUUUCUAGCCUAGGCAAGACUUGGACAAAAUAUUUGUCAGGUAAGGUAUACGGAAAUCCGUUAAUGGAUGAGGGAUUGAAUUAUUAGUUUGAUCAAGUGAAUAGAUAGCCAAUACGUUAAGGAGCCUGUACGACUUUACGGAAUCGAAUUUGGGCGAGUAGAACUCCUCAACUGAUCUUGGCGUGAAAGGGUAGUUUUAGAAAGUCGAGGUUUGAAGGUGUGUUGUAAAAUGGGAGCUUGGAACUCAAAUUCUGAGUUUCUGUAUCCGUGCAAGUCGUUGAGACGAGAUUAAUCCCUCUAUGGCGGGGUGACUAUGGUGGGAUGGGGCCACACAAGGGGGGCUAGUCGCGACUUAAAUCGGGGGAAAACCUCAAAAUCGUUAUUCUCUGAAAAACUUCAUUCUUAAGAGCUAAGGGAAGACCCAAGGCUGUUUCUUAUCAGAUUCCCACUAAUUCUCAUGCUAAAGGUUAGUUAUUUACUCCCCUAAUCCGUAUUUUGAUUAUUAGAAUUUAGAAUCCUUGUAAAUUAUCGUUGAGGAAGGGUUUUGGCUUGAAGUUAAUGUUGGGAAAAGUCCUAGUUGAAUAUUAGGAACAUGGGUUUGGCCUUGGGUUGAAAUUUUGAUAUAAUCCGGGUAAAUUAGGCCUUGUUUAUUGAUCGUUGCAUUAAUUACUUGUUUUAGACCAAGAAUAAGCUAAAAGACUUUGGAAAGGGAAGGCUUAUUCACUCUCUCGAGCUGAAUGUGUGGGAGAAGGAUUAGGGUUCACUUUCUCGAGCUGAACCCAUGUCGACUCAAUACCACCGGCUAUCAAUUUAGUAGUCUUAGUUUUACGACCUCUUUCUCGAGCAAGCCAAAAACACUAAUAUGAAAUGGUAUUUGCAAUACAAUCCCAUUAAGUUCAUACACAACUACUAAAUGAAAUCACAUUUAAACAACAAAUAAACCAUCAACAAGCAAGACCCAACAAAUAAUUUAACCCAUAUUCACAAAAUCACACCCCAAGAAUUUGGAUUUUAGCUAGACAUGUAAAAGAGAUAAAAAUUUAUACCGAUAUAAGUUUCCAUCAACUGGGUAUGAAGAAUAAAGUCUUAAAACACGUCAAUAGAGAAGAAUCUUCAAGAUCCACGUCCAAUUUCUUUGAGUUGAAACCCUUUGAAUCUUCAAGGUCUUAGAACAAAGUCCCCAAAACCCUCUAAAACUUAAACUCUCCAAAAACUGUCCAAAGUUCGAAUAAUAGAAGUAAUAUAUUUAUACAAGAAAUUUAAACAAGUAUUUAUAGUGUUUGAAAAUUUGUGCUGCGGAGGACCGGUCGGCGCAGUUAGUCGGAAUCGCCGAUACGCUCAGCGAUCUGCCUUUUGGUCGAUUUCAUCGCCUUCCUGCUUUAGCCUUCAGCCGCUUCGCGUUUUGAGUCGUUAGGCGAUAUGGUACUGCUUUGCGGAACUGAUCGACGAUGCGCCGACUGCUCCAUUUCAUCGCCAACUUGACCUUUCCUUCAGGGCUCAGCACACUGGAACAAAAGGCGAUCUCCAGGCCCAUCGGUGACUCGCCAACUGGGCUCGGCGAUCUUCUGGCCUUCAUUUCUUCAUUCUUUUCAGCCGCCUUGUUCCUUCUUGCCAAGUAGUGUCCAUGCUUUGCCUCAAACUCUAAAUACCUGAAACUUAAGGAUUUCUUCAGAUAUAGAGAGUAAAUAUGCAUUUGAGAACACUAAUUCUAUCAAAAUAUAGCCUUAAAUGAGUCCAAUUUGUGGACUCCUCAAUGACUAAAGAAAGUAUGCACUGGAAGGAAGUGUGUCGACUUGGUCAAUCGAUCUACGAUGACCCAAAUGCUGUCAAUACCUCUGGAGGUCCGAAGAAAACCCAUUAGGAAAUCCAUGGUGAUGCGCUUCCACUUCCACUCAUGAAUGGGUAAUCUCUACAACUCAUCACUAGGCCUCAAAUGCUCGGUAUUCACAUACUGGAAAUACAAGCAACGGGACACGUAGUCUGAGAUGUCCCUCCUCAUACCACUCCACAAGUAAUGGUGCCUCAUGUCAUGAUACAUGUUAGCGGUUCUUGAAUGGAUAAAAUGCAUGGAAUCAUGAGCCUCGUUAAGGAUUAGAUGAAUAAAAUCCCAAACUCUCGGAACACACAACCGGUCAGCAAACCACAAAAUCCCUUAUGAACCAAAAGUAGUCUACCCUGCAUCGCAUGUCAAGAUUCUAUCUUUAAGUUCCACCAGAGACUCAUCCUCGCACUAACGACUGCGGAGCUAAUCAAGCAAGGAUGACUGAACUCCCACAUAAGCUAACACCCGACUGGAAUCUUAAACAUCAAUCCUGAUCAUUUGAAUGGCUAAGGACUUAAUGCCAAAAGCUAAAGGUCUCUCUGAAAAAAAAAAAAAAGAAGGCUAGACUACCAAUACUCCCCACCUUCUAGCUCAAGGCAUCCGCUACUACAUUUGCCUUGCUGGGAUGGUAAAGAAUAGAGAGGUCAUAGUCUUUCGAGAGCUCAAUACAACGCCACUACCUCAAAUUAAGAUCUCUUUUGGUCAUAAUAUUGAAGGCUCAAGUGAUUAGUGUAGAUCUCGCAAUGAACUCCAUAUAGGUAGUGUCUCCGGAUCUUAAGCGCGAAAACUACCGCCGCCAACUUCAAGUCAUGAGUGGGGAAGUUGCGCUCAUGGAUCUUAAGUUGCUUGGACGCAUAAGCAAAAACCCAACUCUGCUGCAUCACCACACAAGCUAAAACAACGCCGGAUGCGUCACAAUAUACCGUGAAGCCAUCGCCCUCAACUAGAAGAGUCAAUAUAGGAGCAGUGGUAAGAAACUCCUUAAGCCUCAAAAAGCUCCUCUCGCACUCCUCCGACCACACAAAGGGAACAUCCAGGCCAGUCAAUCGAAUCUCUAUCAAUGUAGUGGGCCUAGCUUAACCACGAAUAUCCUUAAUAUUCACCGAAUCCACCAUAAUGCCAUCCUUGGACACCACGUGCCCCAAUAAUUCUAUGGACUCAAGCAAAAACUCACACAUUGAGAACAUGGCAUAAAGCCGAUGAUUUCUCAAAGUCGGGAGUACUAUUUUCAAAUAUUGUUGAUGCUCAGUAUGGCUCCGCGAUUAUACCAAGAUAUCAUCAAUGAAGACGAUGAUGAAGGAGUCCAAACAAGGCCUAAAUACACUAGUCAUAAAAUCCAUGAAUGUUGUAGGGGCAUUAGUCAACCAAAAAGAGAUCACCAGGAACUCAAAAUGGCUAUAACAAGUCCUAAAUGUUGUCUUAGGGAUGUCCAUUGCUCUAAUCCUCAACAGAUGGUAGCCGGAUCUCAAGUCAAUCUUAGAUAACAAUGUGGCUCCCUAAAGCUAGUCGAAUAGAUCAUCAGUACGGGCCAUAGGAUAACGGUUCUGCAUCGUCACCUUAUUCAACUGCUUGUAAUCAUUACAUAUCUGCAUUGUACCCGUCUUUUUCUUCACAAACACGACUUGGCACCCCAAGGUGAUACACUAGGGCAAAUGAAUCCCUUACCCAAGAGAUCAUGAAAUGAACACUGUGCUCCUUGAGCUCUGUGGGGGGCCAUACUGUACGGUCGGAUAGAAAUAGGAUGAGUACCCGACUACAAAGCAAUGGAAAAAUCAAUAUCCCACUCCAGGGGUAGGCUAGAAAGGUCGGCAGGAAACAUAUCUGAGAAGUCUCAGACCAUAGGCACUGAAUCAACUAUAGGGCCCUCCCUACUAAUAUCUCUAACAUAAGCCAAAUAUGCUCAACACCUGCUUGCCACUAGCCUCCGAGCAUAUGCAUAACAACUCAACCCAACCAGCUUGCGAUUACGAGAGCCCUGCCACACCACCGGCGGAAUACUAGGCAUCACUAAAGUAAUAGUCUUUGCAUAGCAAUAUAAGACAGCUCACCGAGGGGAUAACUAGUCCAUGCCUAAGAUCAAAUCAAAAUCCAUCAUACUUAAAUAAUAAGAUCCGCUCGGGUAUCCUGCCAAAAAAUAGACACCUCACAGAAUCUACAAACCCGAUACACUACUAAAGAAUCCCCUACUGGGUCGAAACAUGCAAUGGUACCACUAAGUACUCAGGACUCACCCCUAACCGAGGAGCACAUUAAGCAUACACAUAAGAAUAAGUAGAACUAGGAUCAAAUAAGGAUAAAGCAGACUGACGGCAUGAGAGAACCGUACUAUUGAUCACAUCAUCUGACGCCCAGCCUCUACUCUAGCUAGAGAUCCUAGAAAUGUACAUGGGUUCCUUUACCACGCGCAUCCACUCUACCACCUGCGUUGCCUCCCCCGGGACUUUGUCAAACACCCUGAUGCUGACCUCCUCCUUUAGAUGGAGGGGCUACUACUUCUACUGAUUUUGUUGCCUCAUUAGCUGGUAAGGCUGAUAUAGAGCUAAGGCACUCACUAUACCAAUGAUCAAGCUCCCCAAAAGUGAAGCAACCCUGCGAUGAUCUUCCCGCUACUAGAGGUCGGCUACCCUGACCUGGUAAACCUAUUUAAAACCCACCUCGACCGUGACUCAAAUCAUCAUUAUAACCACCUUAACGGUGUUGGUCACUGUAUGAUAAUUGCAAUGAUGCCUAAAAUGGGAGACUAGGCUGACCUGACUGGAACCUCUAAUGAACCCGGUCUCGAUUAUCCCUAGGCCUAAAAUGACCCCCACUUAAGUUUUCAUCCUGCCUAGCCCUAUUGUCACUACCCACGUGAUCCUCGCGAUGGAGCUACUCAAGCGUGUAGGCAUGGUUUACUGCAUCCACAAAAGAGUGGCCCGCUGAAACCAUAGACUGCGACUCAAUACAUAGUUGCAACCUCAACCGUCUAACGAAACACCUGACUCUCUCCUCCUUUAUGUGAAAGAUCAUGGUGGCAAGACGGGAUAACUCAUGAAAUUUGGCUCAUACUCAGAUACCAUCUUGGAGCCCUACUCCAACCUCGAAAACUCAUUACGGAGCCAAUCUUUGACUCUCCAUGGGAUAAAUAUAGCCAGAAAAUCCUAAAAAAACUAUGUCCACAUCACUGGCGGGGACUCAACUUGUUUGGUCUUUAUGAAAGAGCGCCACCACUACCGGCCGACCCAUCUAACUGAUAAGCUAUAAAGCCAGAUCCUAUCGACUCCACUAACCUCAAAGUCCAUAGUCUCUCCCGACAAGUAUUAAGGAACUCCUGGGCAUCCUCACCAACUGCCCUAGAAAAACCUUGGCAGCGACACUCUCAAAAACACCCCGAGCAUUGUUGUUUGCGUAACCAAGACACAACUUCCAAUGGAAAUGUCUACGAUCGUACAAUAGUAAAGUAACUCAACNNNNNNNNNNNNNNNNNNNNNNNNNNNNNNNNNNNNNNNNNNNNNNNNNNNNNNNNNNNNNNNNNNNNNNNNNNNNNNNNNNNNNNNNNNNNNNNNNNNNNNNNNNNNNNNNNNNNNNNNNNNNNNNNNNNNNNNNNNNNNNNNNNNNNNNNNNNNNNNNNNNNNNNNNNNNNNNNNNNNNNNNNNNNNNNNNNNNNNNNNNNNNNNNNNNNNNNNNNNNNNNNNNNNNNNNNNNNNNNNNNNNNNNNNNNNNNNNNNNNNNNNNNNNNNNNNNNNNNNNNNNNNNNNNNNNNNNNNNNNNNNNNNNNNNNNNNNNNNNNNNNNNNNNNNNNNNNNNNNNNNNNNNNNNNNNNNNNNNNNNNNNNNNNNNNNNNNNNNNNNUUAAUGUAAACAUGUUAAAUCUAAGGGGUGAUGCAAGCGUCAAUUAUCAAUGGGGGUUUGUGACAAGUAAGCAAAAACAACAAAAAAUGCAAAGAGUACUAAUCAAUGCGACAGGAUUCUUGGGAUGUGAUAGGAACACGGGAUAAAAUUAAUGGGUACAUGCUUUUGAUAGAGAAUUUAUAGAAUAAUUGUGACUAGGCUAGACUUUAAAGGGGAUAAGCUCUCUCUCUAGCAACUUCCCUCGUUUCAAGUGGGUUUCUCUCGAACACCCUCUUGCCACAUGAAGAACAACCUCCGCCUUAGCCCACUCACUCUCUCGAGCUGAGUGUGUGGGAAUGAGACUAGGGUUUACUCUCUCGAUCAAAACCUCAUGUCGACCCAAUCCCGUUGGCCAUCAAUUUAGUAGUCUUACUUUUACGACCUCUCUCUCGAGCAAGCCGAAAACACAAAGGUGAAAUCGUAUUUUCAACUUUAAUUUCAUUAAGUUCCACCACAACUACUAAACGAAAUCACAUUUACACGACAAAUAAACCAUCAACAAGCAAGACCCAACAGAUAAUCUAAUCCAUAUUCAUAAAAUCACACCCCAAGGAUUGGGGUUUUAGCUAAACAUAUAAAAGAGAUAGAAAUUUAUACCAAAAUGAGUUUGCAUUCAAAUGGGUAUGAAGAUAAAAGUCUCAAAACAAGCAAUGAAAGAAGAAUCCACAAAACCUAAGUCCAAAAUCUUGGAGUUGAAACCCUUUGAAUCUUCAAGUUCUUCAAAACCCUCUCCAAACUUAGAACUCAAAAUUCUGUGUUAAAAAUUAUAUAUUGUAAAUCUGAUAUUAAACGAGUAUUUAUAGUUUUUAAAGAUUUGUGUUGCAGCGGAUCACUCGGUGACAUUAGUCAAAAUGACCGAUCAACUCGGCGAUUCGCCUUUUGGUGUAGUUCAUCGCCAUCUUGCAUUAGCCUUCAGCAUUGUCGUGUUUUGGAUCAUUAGGCGACCUAGUACUGCAUCGCAGAACUUUGGUUGAACCGUGGGCAGUGUUGGCGGAUACUGAACCUCUAGGCCGCUAUUGCAGGCUGACCCUGCGGUAUUGGAGUCGGCUCUAGAACUAGUGUUGGGGCCUGUUGCUGCUUCUGAUUGCUCCAAGAAACGCUAGAUUCUAUGUAAGCAUAGCCUGAAGAUCAAGGGCGGAAGCUGGUGCGGGUGGUGGCUGGGUGGGUCCCGGCCCCACUGGCGGAUCAACAAUCUGAUCUAACUAAGGUUCCCCCUCCGGUACCAAAGUCCUCCCUCUCUCUCAAGUUGCUGCUGCAGCCCGACCUCGACCUCGGGUUUGACCUUUAUUACUCAUGCCAAACAUCCUGUGAUACAAUGAAACAAGUAAGAUUCAAUGAAACCAAUUGGACAACUACACACGAAAAUUAUCCAAAAUAGGAAAACACCCUAAGGACAUCAUGUAGCCUCCCAAAGAUAAGUCACGGACGUCUCCGCGCCAAUUAUUAAUACUCUACUAGAUAUUAGCUCUGUACAAGUGAGAUCGACGAACCUGGAGCUUGAUACGAACUUAUUAACGACCCUAUUUCUCGAGCCAUGCUGGAGCCUACCAACCCCCAGUAGGCAAGCCAAACCCUAUCCCAGAACUUAAGAGUAAUGGGACUGAGGGGGGAAGUAACCUAAACUAAGCGAAGCAUAAAUAAAUAGAAUACAUAAGAGGAUGGCAGAAUCAAACCCAAAACUAUAUAUACAAAAGAUACCUCCUAGAACCUAGAAGUCAUAUGUACAGAACAUCUGAAAGAGUACAAAAUCAAGACUGCCUCAAAAAGUAAAAGGCAAGUCAAAUUGUAAAUACGGAAUGGAGACAUAAAAUCUAAGAACGCUAUGAGCUCACCCUCGUCUUCAAAACAAACUGUUGCAGGCUCGACCUCAACGCUGAUAGUUUGUGCUCGGACCUGUUUCACAAAAAUAGAUGCAGAGUGUAGUAUUAGUUACAAAAUAACAGGUACCCAAUAGGUAUCAUAGGUCGGCUGAGCAAGAAAGGUAAAAACAGACGGAAAAGAUAGAAUCAGACACAAAUAGAAAUCAAUAGAAAUAAGAGAGGAACAAUUAGAGAGCUAGACUAAGGAUAUUUAACCUAAACCAAACUAGGCCCUCCAUAAGACCUACUAGGUACACUGAUUCACAAACAAACAAGAACCCGAACAGACUAUGGAUCCCAAAGAAAACCCAACUCGAAACCUAUAUAACCAAUAACUCCAACCCAAUGAACAAGUCAGACUUCCACAUCAAGCCACCUAGAUCGCCAGCAACUUCGGGGCAUUACUCAGCCAGGCAAGUGUCAUGCAGGGGUAUAUCAAUCCCUUCAAAAACUCCUAAUUCAACUGCCCAAAAGGCUAACACUCCGCGGGCCCAACCUAAGCCAGCCAACUGUGACAUCUAACACUCACGGGGGACCUUCCCUAACAAAACAGAGUGUACAGUACUGUCAACUCCGAAGAGGACCUCAAGUAACUUAUAUCCAACUCCCCAACUAGCUAAUCACCCCGGGAUCCCUGCCCAAUGCCAUCCAGGUGAGUUAGCUAUAACUCUCAUGGGCCAUGCCAAAUGCCAACGAGAAGGUGCGGGUAAAAUCAACCCCAUAGCGGAUCUCAAAUUCCAAGCUAUCGUAGAUAGACAUCUACUACCAACCACAUCAAAAUGGUGAAUCAAUUCCAAGGCAUCAUGGAUUGACGUCCACUAUCAACUACCUCACACCAGAACCGACCGCGGAACACCCAACCCAGGAAAAUACUACGCCUCUAAUAAUGCAUAGACAUCAAAGAAAUGGGUAGAGAAGCCUGAAGGAUCACAAGCAAUAAGAAUCCCAAACCUAGAGUCAAUUAUCAAACCCAAGUGUGUUAUGCCGGGCCACAAGGACCUAAUCCAUCCGUAUCGACAUCGGAAUCCCUUUCCUAGAGCUUUUCUCUUCCGAACGGCCUCAGAUUGCUACCAGUCUAUCAAAAAUAGAAUCAUAGCAUCAACAUAGUCGUUAAUACAUUAAAAUCAUCAAAAUUGGAGAAAGUCCAAUUUCUGAGUAAAAAUCUAUAAAUGUGGGACUUGCUCUGGAAUUGACUCCGUGAAGAUGUCAUAAACCCUCCCCCAAGCUUGUCUUCCAAACGGAUUAUUUCUUGGGGCUCAAAACAGCUCCAUGCAAUAACAAACCAAAAUGCAUAACUUUACACAAAAAGAGACUUGGGGCAGACACUUACAACGCAGAUCCACCACAAACGGAGGCUUUCAGCCACGCUCCAUAAAGUCAUCGACAUAGCCAACACACCACCGAACACGCGGACUUUGAAUCACCCUAAACAAAGCUCUAGAACUCGAGAUAUUGAAGUUUAAAAAUGAGGCUGAAUCUUAUUUUUUAUUAUAUAAAUAACAACAGUUCUAGUCGGGUAAAGCUAAAUUUGGUUACCAAAAGACUAAAUUAUGGUCACUAAAGGUCUACAUUAGCAACACUAGACUUUGUUAUUUAUUUUUUAAAAGACUCUAAACAGACCCUCGAAAGUCGUUCGGGACCCGACGAAAAUAAACCAGAUAUGCUACCCCCCUUAAUUCAACAUUCCAAACUAGUGGUGCAGUCGGAAUUUCCGUACGAGGUCAAUUUGACAAAAAGUGGGCCCCAUAUCCUAAUGCCAUUUUUAGCAAAUUUUCACAACGGGACUCGAAAUAAAAUUGGAAGCCCCGGGAAAUGCACGAAGGGUCAUUCUAGACAAACCUCAACAUUCUGAAACUUACCAUGCUGGCAGAAUUCUCAUAUGAGCGUGUUUACUAAGAAUGUUGACCAAACUCAAACUUAAGCUAAAAUUCAAAGGCUAAAGCACCAAAUGGCCUCAAAUUCACACUGAAGGCCUUGGGACUCGUACCAACCAGUUUACUAGCCUAAUUUGGUCGCUCUGGAGCUGAUGCAACCAUCAGAAUUCCCAUAUCAGGUCGUUUACUUGAGGUUAUGCCUGGAAUUAAUGUUGGCAAAAGACGGUGGAGCUUGUCCACUCAUCCAAGCUUCGUACAUCUCUGUCAUUUGCUGUCUUAAUACCCUUACCUCUUCUGUUGACACUGUUUCUUGUGAAUCCAUCUGGUUUCGGACCUCAUCAUUGUCCGACUCACUUCCGUCUUUCUGGGCCAUUUUCUUUUUUCCUUUUGAUCUUGUAUUGUAGGGAUGAGAUGUCAGCUUAACCACAAGCCAAUCAUCUUUAACUUAACUGUGUGUAUUGACAAUAAAUCUUGUUAGGGUUAGACCUUCUUCAGUUAUAACACAUGUUGCACGUCAUGCGUACACAAGUCUUUUUAUUUAUAGAAUGAGUUUAGAAAGUCUAAUGUUUAAUCCUAACUAGCUUAACUAUAUUUAUUUUUUUAUUAUUUGUUUUUUUUUUUUUUUUUUUUAAAAUGAUGCAUUGAUUAAAUUCAUUUGGAUUGCGUACAUAACAAGCUUGAUAAAAAUGGUUAAGAUCCUUCCAUAAUUAUUUUUUUACUAAAUUUUUUUUUUGAACUUUUAAGAUAAAAUCUUUUGUUUUCUUGAUUUACUGAAAGAAAAUUAAGAAACAAUCUAUUUUUUAUCUUGAACAUCAUGCUAAAAUGAAAUAAAAAAUAAACAAAGAAAAAUAUUUUUUGACUUUUUGUUUGAGUGAUGAAUUUGAAAAGAUACAAAAAAAAUUGUUGAAUAAAAACUACGACUUAUUUUUAAAAAAAAAUUGAUGAAGAGCUUUUUUUUUAAAAAAAUUGAAUAAAGGUCACCGAACACAAAGAGAAUUGCCUAUAUAUCUCAUUGAGAUGAGAAUCAAGUGUGUGUAGUUCGUUCAGAUUGGACAAUUAAACUCUAUUGUUUUUUUGGAAGAUUAUAAAUUUGUUGACAAAUGCAACUAUAUUAUUCGUUUAAAGUGGUAUUAAAACUUUUGAAGUUUUUGUGAAUUAUAUAAAAGAAAAACUAAAAGAAUUCUUUUUUUUUUGUUGUUGUGAUUUUUGUUUAGAAAUAAAAAAAACUUUUUUUAUAAGAAAAAUGAAAAAAAAAAACUUCUUAAACAAGAAAAUCUCUUCUUUUUUUGUAAUUUAUUUUUCCCUAUGUCUUUCUUUUAAUGUAAAAAAUCUAAAAUAAACUUUUAUUUCAUUUUAUUGAUCACCACAGAUUUGAUUUAUAUACAAAGAAUUUUCAAAUAAAUACAUUUUCAAAUAGCAUAUAAAAUAAUUUAGAUAGGCAAAUAAAAUUGGAGUAUCUAUCUUAGACGAAUCAGAUCCCUAUGCCAAGUCUCAUUAAGUUAAAUACAAAUGAUUAAAAUAAAUAGAACCUACUAGGGAUAACCAUAUAUGGUUUCAGUUCUACUAAGGUUAAAUUUGAUGGAGAAAGGUAUCUAGACUAGAUGUAAAAUGAGCGGACAACUCGAGUUGGGGAGUAGCAACGUACCGGUAGCAGCGCUUUUCGGCUUUGUGCAUGGGUGCUUCCUAUCCUAAACAUAUGUGACUAAAAAUCAUUCACCAUGGACCAAAGAUCCACUGGCUAUCUUGAUAGAAGUGGGGUGCGCAGCCGCAAUUCUCAUAAUGGUAUUAUUGAAGACUCAGAAGGGGUGCGUGAGAGAAAACAGUUUAUGUGCAGUUCAAAAUAAUAUCAAAGUAGUAAAUAAGUAGCCAAUUAGCACAGUAAACAAUCAAAUACAAUAUCCCAAAAACAUGAAUAAAUAAAUAAAAGUCAUACAUAAGUCAAUAUUAUAAGCUCGAAUUCUGGUUAUCCCCAGCGGAGUCGCCAUCUAUCAUACCCCUGUUUUUCCUCAAAACGAAAUUAAUAGUUUUGAAAAAACAAAAGCUUUUUUUCAAUUACAGUGACAUUUCGAAAAUGAAUUAUUUUAAUUUUAGAGUCGCCACUUGAAAUUGAGUUUUGGUGUUCCAAGUCACCUUAUUUAAAUUCCUAAUCAAAAGAAAAUUUGACUCUUUAUUUUGUUUGGUCUACGAAAAUAGAGAUCGGGUAAGAAAUUCUAUUGACCGAGGGAAAUAUAUUAGGCAUCCCUCGAGUUUCGUGGUUCUAGCACGAUCGAUUCAUUGACCUUUGUAUGACUUGACUUAAUUUUUGGAUGUUAUAUUAUUAGCUUAAUAAUAAAAUCUUAUUUACCCUCAAUCUUUGAUUUAUUUUAAAUCUAUUUAAAAGUCAUCUUAUUUUAUAAGUGUGUUGACUUUCAUGCAUGCAUUUUUAUUAUUUAUUUAUUUAUUUUUCGUUGUAACGUUUUCCCUGUUUCCUUCUUUUCACUUUUUUUAAUUUUUAAUAUAUAUUUUUAUGCUUUCACCUUCUGCUUCAUUUUCCUUUUAUUUAUUGAUUUGUUUUUUUUUUAAAAUUUCAUUUGACACGUUUUCUUUACCUUUUCAUUAUAUUUUUUUAAGUAGUUCUUCUUAUUUUUGUUUUUUUUUUGUAUUUUAAUUUCUUCUUAGGCUUUUUCUAUUUAUUUUUAUUUUUCUCUUUACAUCAUCUUCUUCUUCUUCUAUUCUCCACGUUUCAGUUUGUUAAACCAUAAAUACAUGUUUCAUAAUAAAAGCAUCAAAAUAUUAAAAAAAAACAAGAAUAGACGUAAAUAAUAGUUUUACUUAAACAUGAAAUAAACUAAGAUUCGUUAAACCAUUUCGCACUAAGUCUAAUGAUAUUAAAGAUCUAAACAUAAAUUUGAUAUGAAAAUUUUGAAUAUGCUUUAUAUUAUAACAUCAAUGAAUAUUAAUGGUUUAAACACAUACAAAAUUUAACAAUUUCAAUAUAUUGCAACCAAUGCUUGUAUCACUAUACCAGAAUAAGGCUUUAGUGGCAAUUAAUUAAUUGCCGCUAAUUUAUACCCUAAAGUCACUUAUCAGCAGCAUUUAUGCUUUUGCAGGUAAAACAUACACCUUAUUAGUACAAAUCUUUUAGAAAAAAUAAUACGAAAAUCACCGCUACGGCUCUACUUCUCCCUCGCUAAAAUCACCUUAUUAGAAAAUCCUAAAGUCUCAUUUUAUGCUCUCUACUUCUCCCUCGCUAGGCGCUCUCUCUCUCGCAAUUAGUUCCCUAAAUCCCUGCCCUAGCUAUUUCAGUCCUCAAUUUCCUUCAAUUCGUAUUUGUAAAUGAAGUAUAAUUAGGGUUCAGUGGUAAGAAUCGAGUGCGGGGGGCUUUCAGAGCAAACAUCUAUGCUAAUCAGCUGGUGGAGACAGUAACAAUGAGGUCGAUAAAGGAUAGGCUUGGGCGCAACGCUUUUCACAAAUUGCCAGAGGUAGCAAAGAGGUCAAUUGGAUGAUUUCACUCAUCACUCGGCGGAAUCAAAUCACCGGCAAGAGGUGUUCCAUCUUUCUCUUCUUUUUACACUUCUUAUCACUUCUGGUAGCUUCAGAUUUUUAUAGUUUUUCAGUUUUUUCAUAUAUUCUGUCUUUGUACAUUUGUGAAUAUGCAUUUGAUUUGAUGUUUGAUAAACUGUUUCACUUAAAAUUUGUCCUUGAAUGUAUCACGAGUUCUUCUAUGUCAGACAUUUUGGUUUUCUCUUAUUCAAAUUAUAUAAGUGUUUUGUCACUACUGGGAUUUGAAGAGAAUUGAUAUUAGUAUUCUCAAAAGAUGAAUUCGUCUAAUCCGGUGUAGUUUGGAUGUUAAUCUAAUUAAUUGCCUUUUUUGCCCCUCUUUUGGUAAGUCAAGUAAAAAACUAGGUGUUUUUUGAGUAGUAGCAUGAGUAAAUGAUGAGUAGCAGAAAUGUUUUCUCAGAAGUGCAGAAAGCAACUUUCUUCAAAAGUCAAUUCCUGAAAAUUGGGCCAAGCACACAUUGAUAGUUUUCUAACUUGUUUUAUGCAAAUUGGGAAGCAUGUAUUUGCUUGGAGAGAGAUGCAACUACCAUUACUAAUCAAGUUUUGACAUUUAGCUAUAAUUUGAUUUUACUUUGUUAAUUGGUUUUGAAGCUAUAUGGGGUGGAUGCAGGCAUAUGUAUGUCAUAUAUACAGAUCUUCAAAAGAGGAGGAUUGAAAGAUUAGAACAUAGUAGAAUUCAUGCACAAUGACAUUGCCAAGAGCGAGUUGAAUCCUAGACCUGGAGUCAUAAUCAAUCAUCUGAAUGGUAGUGGUGUCUAUGUCGCAUGCCUAAGGUAAUAACCAUAUGUUAUAUCUUAUUGUUGUAUCCUUUCAUACGUAGUACACAUGCUCUUUUAACCCAAGUCCCAAAAGUAACUCGACAACUUCCCAAAUGUAAGAUCUUAUGUUGUGUUGUGGUUACAGUCAUAACAUUAUUGUCAUUUCUCUAUUGGAAAAUGUGGUGCAUCUAAUUCUUUGGAGGUUCGUUUAGUAAAAACAUUGAACCUCAAACUAGAAAUAUAGCUCUACUAGGAGAUGCAGAGGCUACCAACUGCUUAGGCAGUUUGAUAUCCUGGACUUGAAAGUUUUACGAGACCUAUAUUUGGGAGUAUGAAUCUGCAAACCAUAGGGAAACUCCUGGUUUUUCUUAUAUGACAUCGUAAUAAGAUUAACCGGUACCAAUCUAAUAGGCAAAGUGAAACUUUUUUUGGAUUCUUAUCAACUCAAAUUGGUUAACUGUUUUAAAAGAACAUGAAGUUUAUUAGUCCUUCAUGACAUCAAAAUUUUAUGACGUUUAAUUAAUAUGGUAUUGAUUCUAAUGAAAAAAAAUUCUUCUCUGUUUCCAAAUAGAUGGGGAUGUCAAGUGCACUGGACACAUUUUCUGGACAGUCUUAUGGAGCAAAACAGUAUCAUAUGCUUGGCAUUCUCAUGGAUAGAUCUAUGAUUAUACUUUCACUUUUAUGCAUACCUCUUGCAGUCAUUUGGGAAAACACUGGCUCUAUUCUCAUGUUUUUAGGCCAAGAUCCUAGUAUAUCUGAUGAAGCUGGUCAUUAUGCCUUGUAUUUCUUGGUGUUUUCUCUUACGGCUUGCUCCAAUGUGUUAUGAGAUUCUUACAAACACAAAGUAUUGUCAUCCCUAUGGUGUUAUAUGCUGGAGUUACAACCUUAAUCCGCAUCGUUGUCUGUUGGAUUUUGGUCUUCAAGAUUGGACUUGGUGUCAAAGGAGCUGCUCUAGCAAAUUCAAUCUCUUACUGGCUUAACUUCUUGUUUUUGGCUAUUUAUAUCAAGUUUUCUCCUACAUGUGCAAAGACUUGGACAGGACUGUCAAAAGAAGCUCUCAAGGAUAUGCUUGCUUUCAUUGGACUCGCGAUUCCCUCUGCCAUCAUGGUCUGGUCAGUCUACAUUUCUUGACUUGUUGUGCUGGUUUGUUUGUUGAUUUAACUUGUCUAAUUUGAUGAUUAUCAACAGCUUAGAAAUGUGGUCAUUUGAGCUAAUAGUUCUGCUUUCUGGCCUCCUUCCAAAUCCACAGUUGGAAACCUCAGUGCUUUCAAUCUGGUUCUAAUUGUGCACCUCUUAUUUAUCAAGCUAAUUUUUUUAUUUUCAAGUCUAACUGAUUUGUUUCAUUGUUUGCUAGAGCCUAGUCUUAAUACAUCUGCAAUAGUUUGGAUGAUCUCUAUUGGACUGAGUGGUACUGUGAGGUUAGCCAUCAAAAAGAAGAAGAAAAGAGGUAGUACUUGGUAGUUCUUUUCCUUCUGCUUCAGAAGAACAUAGAUAGUGCUAGUGCAUUCAGUUCUUCAGGCCACUAUUACUUUACAAGCUAAUACAGUAAGCAGUUUCAUGCAGAUAGGACUCUAAGAUGUUGCAUCAGCAAACAAUGCAAUCAACCUAAUGAUGCUUCUUCUGAAUUGACGUGCCGCCUGAUUGACCUAGCUACAAGUAUCAAAUAAAGUUGGCUCUAUUGAAGAUCCUCCUGAUAGCACAUCAUUGUUAUCCAUUUUGCCAUAGUUUCACUAGGAAAAAGAAGUAAUAGUUCAAUCUCCUUGUUUUUCCAUUGUUGAACACAUUCUCUCCGGGGUUUUUUUUUAUAACUUGAACAUAUUGUUGUUUUUAUAAUUCAUAUUUUUUUUACGAAGACAAGAAAGUAAAUGUAUUGAUUGUUCUUGUUUUAUAUGAAUGACGUUGUUUUAGUUUGGUAAU
rnacentral:lncRNA from 1 species